AGAUUAAACAUACUCAUACAUAUAUAAUAAGCGUACACGUACACUAUGGCACCCCGGCUCAGAGAAAACCGGAACGCCCCAUAUUCCAGCCCAGAGAUCGAGGAGAAGUCUUCUGGAAUAGGACAUUGCUUAGCAUAGAACAAACCAGCCUUCUAUUAUUACACGAAUAUGAAUACAAGGUCUCCGAUAUUACAAUGAAUAACAUCGGUACGGCGACACUACGCCAUCCUCAGUUUCUCUAUGCAAGCAGCAGAACAACUCGAAGCAGCGGAAUAACUCUAGCAGCGGAACAACGGCAACGGUGGUGAACUCCACUCCGCAGGGACUCUGGCUGGAACGCUUAUCCUAGCUCGCACGAACGGAAACCACGACAAGCAAGCAAUCAAAUCCGACAUGACCUGCAAACUGGCAUGACACGCCAGGUCAGUACAUUGAAUGUACUUGCAAGCUCACAAUAAACCAGAAGCAUUCAAGGCAGACAACAGCAUGGCAAUUACAGGUUAAACAGGAAUUACCAUGACAUCAUCAGAAUAACAUGGCAUGACCAACAUACACAUGAUACAGCUAUCACAACAUGAACAUAUUAAUCCAACAAUACUAGCAUGCAACAUGAAACCACUAUAUGCACCACUUAUCCUGCUCGGGCUACCUCGUAACCAUCACAUGCAUCACUUACCAACCUCGGACAUCACAUGAUCAUCACAGGUUCAAAUCAAGCUUGGUAUAAACAAUACCGUAGUAAUUAGUAAAUGACCACAAGGAGCUUGACCUUUACCCACGACUCUCGUACAACAUCACGAAUAUAAAACAACUCGGUAUCCUCGAUACCACCGUGAUCCUUACGGCGGUCACAACCACGACCAACACUUAGCCCCAAACCGUGAUCCUUACAGCGAUCACAACCCAACCAAUAACUGGCCCGUGAUCCUUACAGCGAUCACAACCCGACCAAUACAUGGCCCGUGAUCCUUACGGCGAUCACAACCCGACCAAUACAUCGCCCGUGAUCCUUACGGCGAUCACUACCCGACCAAUACAUGGCCCGUGAUCCUUACGACAAUCACAACCUGAUCAGUAAAAUGGCUCAUGAUCCUUACGGCGAUCACAACCCGACCAACACUUGGCCAACUUAUCUCACUGUUAUUAAGCACAUUAUUUUUAUUACUAUUGGCUCAUGGUGUGACCUUCUCUCGACCUGGGCCCUUAUCCACGGGCGCGGCUAUCGAUAGAUUUAAUAUACACUCUACAGAGGUUAGUACACUGUACCCACACUACGGAACCCAUGGCCUCACCCUCCCAUUCGGGUGGACCAACAGCAUUCCGACAAAACCGAUCUAUUGUCAUGACACUCUCCCGGCCCUUCCGACUCAUACCCCACCGGGCUAGUCCUGGGUGGCCCCGUGUCUACCUCCAGACACCUCGACCACCGUCGUGGCCAUGAUCCACACUGGGAUUCGGUGCCAAAAUUAACUUAACAACGGGCUCACAAGGUUAUGCUCCGCCUACCUGAUCAGGGUAGCACGCGCCCAUAACCUUCCCUAAAUUGAGGUACCGACCAAAGGCAUGACAAUAGACCCAGUUAGGACCGGCCCAUACCGUUAAGCAUGGUUGCACUGGUCAGCAUCGAUUCAGCGACACCAUGACUUAGCCAACAGGUGUUCAAGUUCAAUUUAAUCCGGUUAACUUGAAUGCAAAUAUGCUGAGCCAUGAUAAAAUAACAUGAUGCCAACUAUAAUACAUGAAUAUGAUAUCAACAUCACCAUGAGAGUAUCACAUAACUUUCCACCAUAUCAACAAUAACUCAUAUCCACCGAGCAUGGCAUACCGACUAGCAUGAUCAUCUCCAACAUCAACAUGUAAUACUAACCAGCAUAAACAUAUGAAAGAUAAUACUAGCAGGUAUAACAUGAUCACAGAGUAUAAGACAACAUAACAUAACAGUGAACAUGCAAAUCUGAACAUCAUCGGAACAACGAUAACCAUCUUUUCAACAAACAAACAUUUAUUGAAUAUUCAAGUUGAAAACCAUGGCUACUGCAUGACUAUCAUGCAAGUGGGUAUUGUGGCUUGCCUGGGGAUGAAGAAAACACCGGGGAGAAGUGAUGUGAAGCCGCGGAAAGAAUCGCCGGAAAACGUACUCUCUCGGAGGGGGCUGAAUAAGGGCAAGGGCAUAAUGGUCAUUUUCAAAGUGUCAAACCAUAGUGAAAGCAUGACCAAUAGAACGG
rnacentral:lncRNA from 1 species